rnacentral:lncRNA from 10 species
UCUCCUGCUCGGCGGAACGAGGAUAACCCAGUAGAGCCGGACCCAGGGGCAAGAAAGUUUCCCAGAUCAAAUGGAAAUGAUCAAGUUGAAAGUCAAGAAGAAAAGAAAGUUCAGAGAUGCCAAGGGACAUCAAAAGGAAAAAUGUCUAGAAGUCAACAAGCAAAGGAGCAACUUAGCUGUCCUAAGGAUUGUCCCAUAUCAAGUAGCUCAGCUCCAGAUGUUCGGAAGAGGCAUUGGUUGUACUGUUUUCUCACCGGAUCAGAUGGCUUUCAGAUAAUCUGCUCCUGGCCCCAGGAGGGAAGAGGGCUGUAAUGGAGUCUUGAGAACACCUCCUUUCCCUGCCAAAGGUAGAUCGUUGGCCGGAGACAGGAUAUGUGAAGAAACUUCAGAGAAGGGACAAUACGUUCUAUUACUACAACAAACAGAGGGAAUGUGAUGACAAAGAAGUCCACAAAGUGAAAAUUUAUGCUUACUAGCCUGUCUUCUUUGUAUUACUUGUCAAUUAUAUUUUAAGUA